ACCUGGAUGACAGCCGGCUGAGCCACCUGUGUGGCGGCGGAUAAGCUGCUGGGCCCGUGUCCUAGGAUGGCUGGGCCCAGCGGGUUUUUUUGUUUUUUUCUUUUAUUCCUUUUUAAAAAAGAAAACCCCAAAAAUGUAAACAUAGGGCAUUAACUACAUAUUUUAAAUGCCCCCGUAUCUUUGCUACCUAACACUUCCGGACUGGGAGAACUCGCUGGCCAGAGCGGAUGGUUGGAAAGCACAGUCUUCAAAUGGAUUUUAAAAUUGAACACACUUGGGAUGGUUUUCCAGUGAAGCAUGAGCCAGUGUUUGUCAGGCUGAAUCCAGGUGAUAGAGGAGUGAUGAUGGAAGUCAGUGCUCCAUUUUUCAAUGAUCCUCCAGCCCCACUAGGAGAACCAGGAAAGCCUUUCAAUGAACUGUGGGAUUAUGAAGUUGUGGAAGCAUUUUUCUUGAAUGACAUAACUGAACAGUAUUUAGAAGUUGAACUUUGUCCCCAUGGACAGCAUUUGGUGCUUUUACUCUCUGGAAAAAGAAAUGUGUGGAAACAAGAACUUGAUCUAUCAUUCAAAGCGUCCAGAGGAGAGACAAAAUGGGAAGGUAGAGCUUAUCUUCCUUGGAGUUAUUUUCCACCAAAUGUGACAAAAUUCAAUUCAUUUGCAAUUCAUGGAUCAAAAGAUAAAAGAAGCUAUGAAGCUCUUUACCCUGUACUUCCACAUGAGCUGCAGCAAGGACAAAAACCUGAUUUCCAUCAUCUGGAAUACUUCAAGCCUUUCAGUUUUAACACACUGCUUGGAGAAGAGUGGAAACAACCAGAGUCAGACCUGUGGCUAAUAGAGAAACCUGAUGUGUAGGAGUAUAGUAGAUGACCACAUCAAUCAUUUCUUCUCUAUACCUUUUAAGGACUGAAAUUUUCAAAAGUAACUAAGAAAGAAAACAACUCCCAGCUGGAAAAGGAGAUGUGAGAAUUAUAUAAAGAUAUUGGUAACAGUUGGAAUAUAGAGUUACCACAACAUGGCGCAGUUUACCAGUGCUACAGAGCCCUGUGACUCUCAAGUUUGAUUCUGGGGUCCAAGGCUAACUGAUGAAAGUGAAUGAUCCUUUCUUUGAUGAUCCCCAGCACUACCAGGCGAAGCAGGACUGCCUUUUGAUGGAGCAUGAAGUUGUUGAAUCAUUUUUGUUUGAACAGCAAGACUAAACAGCACCUGGAGGUGGAACUCUGCCCGCACGGACAGCACCUGGUCCUACUGCUCUCCAACAGGGAUUCAUUUACAUAAGAGCCAAGUUCACAAUUUAAACUCAACACUACCUGGAACCAGUGGAGUGGGAUUAUAUUUCUUCCUUGGGAAUAUUUUCCACGUGGUAUUGAUAAAAUGAAUUCAUAUGCAAUUCAUGGAUCAGGGAUUAGAAGAAUUUAUGAAGCCCUCUAUUCAAUGCCACAUGAAGAGAUGGAAGAUGGACAAGGCCUAACUUCCAUCGCCUCGAGUAUUUCAAACCUUUCAACUUGAAGUGGAUUAUGGGAAACAACUGGGAGAAGCCAGACUCAGAGCUGUGGAAGGAGCUUUGCUGUGAUCCUUUACCUUCUGACAACACAGGUUAUAGCUCGUAACGAAAAGCACUUAACAAAUAGAAUUCCAUGUACCACCACCUUUUGGCCUCAGUUGGACAGCUGAAGUAAAAUCAUUGUCUGCUACCACUGUAAAUGUUCCAACAACAUGCUAGAA